rnacentral:rRNA from 1 species
GUCUUUUUGAGUAUAAUUUAAAGUCUAAUCUGCCCACUGAAUAUUUUAAAGGGCUGCAGUAUUAUGACUGUACAAAGGUAGCAUAAUCAUUAGUCUUUUAAUUGGAGACUUGUAUGAAUGAUUUAAUGAGAUAUGAACUGUCUUUUUUUUAGUAAUAGAAUUUAAUUUUUUAGUUAAAAAGCUAAAAUUUUUUUAAAAGACGAGAAGACCCUAUAGAGUUUAAUUUUUUUAAUUUAUAAAAGUAUUUUAUAAAAAUUAUAAAUUUAUAUAUAAAUAAAAAAAUUUUGUUGGGGUGAUGAAAAAAUUUAUUAAACUUUUUUUAUAGAGUUAACAUUGAUUUAUGAUUUUUUGAUCCAUAAUUUAUGAUUAAAAGAUUAAAUUACCUUAGGGAUAACAGCGUAAUUUUAUUUUUUAGUUCAAAUAAAAAUUAAAGUUUGCGACCUCGAUGUUGGAUUAAGAUAAAAUUUAAAUGCAAAAAUUUAAAAUUUUGAUCUGUUCGAUCAUUAAAAUCUU